CAUAGCUCAGUUGGUAGAGCACAUGACUUUAAUAAGUUCCUGAAACCCUGUGUUCCAAAGGUCGCUGGUUCAACUCCAGCUCCAA
rnacentral:tRNA from 1 species